AAUAUUGCGCAAUGGAGGGAACUCUGACGCAGCGACGCCGCGUGAGCGAUGAAGGUCUUCGGAUCGUAAAGCUCUGUCCUUGGGGAAGAAGGUCUUCGGACUUGACGGUACCUAAGGAGGAAGCCCCGGCUAACUACGUGCCAGCAGCCGCGGUAAUACGUAGGGGGCGAACGUUGUCCGGAAUUAUUGGGCGUAAAGGGUACGCAGGCGGCCAUGUAAGUCAGAUGUGAAAGAUCAAGGCUCAACCUUGGUUAGCAUUUGAAACUGUGUGGCUUGAGUUAAGGAGAGGAAAGUGGAAUCCCUAGUGUAGCGGUGAAAUGCGUAGAUAUUAGGGGGAAUACCAGUGGCGAAGGCGACUUUCUGGACUUAUACUGACGCUGAGGUACGAAAGCGUGGGGAGCAAACA
rnacentral:rRNA from 1 species